UGGUUCUGGCAUCGAUGAAGAACGCAGCGAAAUGCGAUAAGUAAUGUGAAUUGCAGAAUUCAGUGAAUCAUCGAAUCUUUGAACGCACAUUGCGCCCAUUAGUAUUCUAGUGGGCAUGCCUGUUCGAGCGUCAUUUCAACCCUCAAGCACUGCUUGGUGUUGGGGCUCUACGUAGUGUAAGCCCUCAAAUUCAGUGGCGGACUCGCUAUGGCUCCGAGUGCAGUAAUUUGUCUCGCUCUGGACGCCUGGUGGGUGCUUGCCGUGAAACCCCCCAUCUAUUGUGGUUGACCUCGGAUCAGGUAGGAAUACCCGCUGA
rnacentral:misc_RNA from 1 species